rnacentral:rRNA from 1 species
UACGGGGGGGGCAAGCGUUGUUCGGAAUUACUGGGCGUAAAGGGCUCGUAGGCGGCCAACUAAGUCAGACGUGAAAUCCCUCGGCUUAACCGGGGAACUGCGUCUGAUACUGGAUGGCUUGAGUUUGGGAGAGGGAUGCGGAAUUCCAGGUGUAGCGGUGAAAUGCGUAGAUAUCUGGAGGAACACCGGUGGCGUAGGCGGCAUCCUGGACCAACACUGGCGCUGAGUGAGCGAAAGCCAGGGGAGCAAACGGG